CAUCAAUGUCUUGAUUCCUAAAACUGGACCAAGAAUAAAAUUCAGGGAAGACUCAGAGAAUAUUUACAGGAACCAGCUGUUCUUCCAUGGAACUUGGAGUCUACUUCAACAUAUGACACAGAACAUAGCAAUGCAAUGAAUAUGUCACAUAUGAAAGACCUUCUGAAAGACAUCCUGAAGAACCACCGC